rnacentral:tRNA from 1 species
AAAAGAGAAAUGAUUAAUCAUUUUCAAUUUCGGCUUGAACCUAGGACCUACCCUCUUUUA